rnacentral:lncRNA from 1 species
GUUAAUGGCAUGUAAAUAACCAAACUAUUUUCAAAUUCUGGUUUAAAUACUGAACUGAAAAGUGUAUCAUGGAAAUAGCUACACUAAUAAUUUAAUCUGAUUUUGCAACUCCGGUAAUUUUCCGGGCAAAAAUUAAUGACGUGGACGGUGGAAAUUUCGACGUGGCAUCGCCGGCGAAACAACGAAACACAGUCGUUUCAAAUAAAUCAAACGUCGUCGUUUUACCUAAAUUGGGUGAGGAGUGUCAUUUUUUAUAUAAAUUGGAACCCUAAACCUAAUUGUACCAUUUCUGGUCUUCGUUUAUCAAAUUCGACGCAAGGAUGAGCAAAUAUUGGAAUAGCGAGACCGGCGAAUCAGUCUCUAGCUCAAGCUCGUCUGAGUUGCGCUUCAACUCACCCAACAAUUCGCGUUUUGGUAAUUGGGCAGUACGACCAAAGCUCUGCAAACAUGGUCUUGCUUCGUUGAGAACUUCUCAUACCCCUCUAAAUCCAUUGCGCCGAUUCUACUGCUGCAGUCGACGCAAUGUUAGUUGAGCUUUUGAAUUAUAUUUAUUUGUUUUGUUUAUAACUGAAUAAUUUAGUUGUUGAAUUUGUUUUUGUGAAUGUAGUCUGCCGACGAUUGUGGGUUAUGGGAAUGGGUCGAUCCGGAACUGAAUGACCACUACAAAGAGUGCAUUUCAAAACUUAUGAAUGAAAUUGCUAAAGCUGAGGAGCAAAGGGAUGAAGCGACAAUGGCGGCUACUUUCAGCAGCCAGAGGUUCGAAUCAAGAUUGGCUGCAAUCAAUUCAGCUGUUGUGGAGGUUGAUCUACUGAAAGCGAGGAAUGAGACGCUUGAAGAAAUUGUUCGUGCUCAGUCUAUGAAGAUUCAGAUAACCAAAUGGUUUGUUUGCAUUGUGGCCUUGUUGUUUGCGAUGCUGUGGGUUGUGAAGUAAUGUAGGCUUUAGGCGGUAGCUUUUAG